GACAUUAAGUUCGGAGCAGCCCAAGGCUGCGGAUCUAGCCUUUCUCCCUCCGGUCUCCAGACCCACGCAGGUUCAGGCAACCAAGCAGAGACAGCGGAGCCCCGGCGCGUGGUUCAUGCCUGGUCAACAGGUAGGAGGGCCGGUCUGGGGGCCAGGCACAGAGGAGGGCAGGCCCGCCCGCACCGGCGUCCAGGGUCCCGGGUUCCGGGUCCCGGGACUCGAGGAGGUCGCCGGCAGCCCGCGCUUCUAGAGGAUUGAGAUUGGGUGGACGAGACCUGAAGAUCCUCUCGGUCUGGACCCCGACUUUCGGUCUGCUUAGAGACCUAAGCCGCGAGCCUUUGCCCACACGGAGAAACGUACUAUCUAAUAUCUAACAACCCUGUACUGCCGUGUCUGGAGGCUGCGGGAAGGAGACUAUGUCUCCCUUUGGGAAAACUACUGAGGACUUCUUUAUAUCCUACUUCUCCUGGACUCCAUAAGUUACAGGACCGAAGGAAACAGAAAUAGAGAAAAGGUGCCGCUUGCCCCUUUAACUCCAGAAAAGGGUGGCUGCAGAUGGAGCAGCUUGGACUUUAUUUUUACAUUGCGAGAAGCCCGCCGGCAGCGGCUUAUGCGAAUUGAUUUUCCCAGCUCCCAGCCCUGGGUGUCUAGCUAUCUCCAGGACAGUUUGUUUUUUUCUUUUUCUGUCUUUCUUUCUUUCCUUCAAUGUAUCAGAAGACCUGAAGCUCGCUGCCCGCGAGUUUCCUCCGAGUUCCCAGACAGAGUCUUGCUCUAUUGCCCAGGCUGCAACUGGCGUGAUCUUGGCUCACUACAACCUCUGCCUCCUGGGUUCAAGUGAUUCUCCUGCCUCAACCUCCCAAGUAGCUGGGAUUACAAGCAUGCACCACCAUGCCUGGCUAAUUUUUGUAUUUUUAGUGGAGACGGGGCUUCGCCACGUUGGCCAGGGUGGUCUUGAACUCCUGACCUCAAGUGAUCCACCUGCCUUGGCCUUCCAAAGUGCUGGGAUUAUAAGCAUGAGCCACCGCACCCAGCCUUAUACUGAACUUUCAAUGGGUUCAAUUCCACUAGGAGCAUAAAGUCCACUGCAUAUGAGUUGUGGAAAGAAGAGAUUAGAGGAAGAAGGAAGAACUUGAGAUGAGUUCUUCCCUUCAACAUUCUGUCUCCUCCUACCUAGCAUCUUCUUUCUUUUAGUCUUUCUAGAAUGUCCAUCUGUUUUUGGCCAUUGCAGAAAGAGAAGCUGAGCUUUAAAGGCGUAGGAGCUUCAAAAUUCUUGUUUCUUCAUGUUUGAUCACCCUUCUAAACCUGUCUUCUGUUCCUUCUGCUAUUCUUUUUUCUUAGGGCAUAGGAAAGGGGAGCUUUUAAAUUAAUACUUAAAGCAUGGAAAAAAAGAACUUCAGAAGAAAGUAAAACAAGGGAGAUGAGGCUAGUAAAGUAAGGAAAAUGGAGAAGAGGAAGAGGGGGAAGGGUUAGCUUCUAAAUUCCAAGUCAAAUUGAUACGGAACAGGCAAGCCUCUUGUCUUACUUAAACUUCAGAGAAGGAUCUGCUGAAACUUGAUAGAAAUGGAAGGGAAAUCCUUGGAGUGGGGAACCUCCAAAUGUUAGUAAUGAUAUUGAACAACUCAAAGUAUUGAGGAAAUCUGCAGGCUACAUGCCUGAAGAUCACCCAUGCAGAUAGACCAAAAGGAUUAGAAUUAUCUGUUGAUAUUAGUAAUAUUUAUUGACAUCUAGCUAGUAUUGGUAAUUUUAAGUUUUAGAUUAAUUUCUUUGGUAAUAGCUAUGAUAUAUUUUAUAGACAAGAAUUAUAUCUAUAGGCUUGCUAUCAUAGGCUCUUUUAAGUAGCAUUAAUUUAGUCUACUUAUUUUUAGCACAUUUGAAUCAUUCACUUAUGCUAGGUAACCCAUUGUGCAAUAAAAAGAUGAUUCCUGUAUGUAUGGCAGCUAUACAUUAAGGAGGAGUCUACCAGAAUAUGAAAAAGUCAACUGACCUAAAUAUUGCUGAGACAAAGGAAAACCCACUCCCUUGGAGGAGCAUGACCUUUUCCUGUAUUGCUUCCCACUGCUGUUGUGGAGCUCCUUGGACCUUGGCUUCUGGACACCAUCAUCAAGAAGACUUUAUGGAUGGGCUAUCCACCCACUGAGAGAAGAGGAGCAUCAGCUACAGUUUCUGUCUAGAUUGCCUUCUUCAUUUUGAGUAAUGACUGUCAGCAGGGUCAGAUUAAAGACAAAACAACUGGACAAUUGCUUGGAGGACUAAACUAUAAGGGCACUAACAUGUCAGUAGUAUGCUAACACAUCCAUGGAAAAUAUAUUUACCAGCCCUUCUCUCAGGAUUCUGUGUGGGGUUGGAAGGAAUGGUUUGUUAAAUUCCUUAGGGGUAGAAAGUAGGGCAUAAUCAGAAUACAGAGGAAUAUGCUGUUUGACUUCAGGGUUUCUGUUUUUCUUACUAGGAUAUAUAAAACAGGAGCUCUAGCUAGAUUGUUUAUGACCACAGAGGGCAGGCUGAGCACUCCCAUGGUCUUCCUGCUUGGUUCUUGCCCAUACAGAGCUCAGCCUUUCCUCUAAUAAAGAUUGAACAAGUAGUGGUCUGAGGGAGACACCAAUUCAUUACCCUACAUGUCUCUUCUCUGCACUCUAGGGCUUUGAUAAUAAAGACACUGGCAGACUAUCUGUCUUCCAUUUCUAUAAUGUGAGCCCUUAGGGAGUCUUCAUUCACUUGGGGGUGAGGGUCAUUGCUCACAGAGUAGUUCAAGUCAAAUGGAACUUGAACUCUUUGCCUAUGGGCCUGGUGGUCAGACUCUGUGUUGAGUUCAUUGGAUUAUUGGAGACACAAGGUAGAGCUGAACGCUUCAAAAAUAUUUGGCUAAAGGAUGACAUUGCUGGUUAUUUGUAGAUAAAGCCAUGAUGGAACCUGCUUGGAAUCAUGAAAUAUGGAACUGGUGGUCAUGUUUAAAAAUACAACUAAUAGUUAAGUACCUACUGGACACUGUAGAGACUUAGGGACAAGACAGACAUGGUUCCUGCCCCCAUGGAGCUUACACUGUAGCUUUCCCUUAGGUAUGAAGAACAGUGGCUACAACUAACAAAUGGCCACAAAGAUAUCAUUGAGCCAGUGUUCCAAUCAUUAGGGUAAUUCCUAUUUCCUUAAUCAUGCCUAUUGACCAUGUUCUAUAAGCCUGCAUUCUAUAAAUGGCCUAUGAGCAUGGGCUGUUUCCCCCCAGCAAGUUGUACAAAGUUCUGUGGUACCAGAGAAAGGGCUUAAGGUUAGCAGGGCCUCUGGGGAAGGACAUAUGUAGUGACUUGGGUUAGGAAACAGGAAGGGAUAGGAUUGAAGAACAGCUGUUGCUUCUGUUCUAUAUAGGAAACUGCAGCGUGAAAAAUUCUGGGCUGGGAAUUUUGAGACCUGGGUUUUAGUUUGUGUUCUAAUACUAACAAGCUAUGUGACCGUGGGUAAGUCACUUCACAUUCCACUUGGAUGCCUCUUGAGUGACUCCAGGCCUCUCCAGCUCUAAAACAUUAAUAUCAGGCCCUACGCUACAGCUGGCCAGUGUGUAAUUCUCCUGUUUCUAUGCUGUUAGGUCAAAUAGAUCUUCAAUAGUUACUUGAUUGUUAUUACUUUUUUCUGAAGUGGAUGUUUUAUCAAUGUUUUAGGAUACAGUGAGUCUGCUUCUGCCCUUUGGAGUUAGGAAGGUUGUAGGAAUAUACACUGUAGAGCAUAUGGGAGCUUUAUCCCCUCCUUUUUACCCCCCUACCUUUCUCCCUCUCCUUCCCUUCCUCACAUUUCUAUUGAGCAUAUGUCAUUGCCGUGUACCAGGUGUGUGCUAGAUUUGGAGAUACAAGGUAAACCUGAGACUUUCCCAGACUCCAGGAGACAAAACCCUAAUUUCUGUCAUCUGCUGGCUUUCUCUUUGGAAAGAAUCAACGAUAUCCCAGGGGAAUGUGCCCAUGUCCCAGGGUAACCAACUACAGACAGAUGCCCCAUUCUACUCAAACAACUUUUAGAGUGCCUUGAGAUACACAUCAGAUAAUUAUGCAGGGCCGGGCAUGGUGCUGCACACUUGUAAUCACAGCACUUUGGGAGGCCGAGGCAGCAGAUUGCUUGAGCCCAGGAAUUCAAGCAUAGCCUAGGGAACAUGGCAAAACCCCAGCUCUACAAAAAAAAUACACAAAUUAGCUGCGUGUGGUGGCCCAUGACUGUAGUACAAGCUACUCAGGAGGCUGAGGUGGGAGGAUUGCUUGAGCCUGUGAGGUCGAGGCUGCAGUGAGCCGAGAUCAUGCCAUUGCACUCCAGCCUGGGUGACAUAGGGAGACCCUAUCUUGGAAAAAAAAAAAAAAAAAAAAAAAAAGAUAAUCAUUCAGCCCUAGAGUCAUUGUGAAAAGAUCUAUCUUCAGAUAUAAGGAAGAAACAAUUUUUUAUUUCUUAGGAUAAAUCUGUAGAAGGACCUCCAGACAGUGAAGGCCACUGACUACUUUAUACUUUGUAAGCCAUCCCUUCCCUGGUAGGAAGGACUACUUUCCAGUCUUACAAAGUACCUCUCAGCAAAUAGACGUUUUCAUAUAUACUGUGAUUGAUACAUCCCUAUGGCUGGUGACCUCUUUAAAAAGGAAAGAAAAAAGCCUAAUCAAACAAAAAGAUGUUGCUAGUAAUUCUUACCCUAUUGUGAAUCCUAUAUAAGCAAAUUUGUAUCUUUGUUUUUUCCAACAUUAGCAGAUCUAUUUGAUAUAUAUCUCUGAGUGCAGAAAAUAUUUUAUAGAAAAAUCAAUAUAUGGAAUUUCAAAUUCAGAAUUGCUGAUACACACUAUUUGGUUUCAGAAUUUUAUCCCAGGAAAUAGUAUUAGGGAUUUCAAUUUCUGGCUUAAAUGGUAGAAUUAAUUACUCUUAACUCUUAAUUUUACUUCUGAGUUGAGGUCAAGGAACAGGCAGACACCUCCAGUUAACGUCUAUACGUCUCCAUGGCCAAGAGUUUUAAUUUUCUCGUCUUCAGUUUUGUAGAUGUACAUCAUUACUAAAUGCAUUGAUUAGUAUUUUAUUUCCUCUCCUUGUCCUUACUUUCCCUCUGGUAAAUAUGUUAUAAACAGUGUAAGGCUCCUAAGAUAGAGUGGCUGGUAGGACUUAGAAGAGAAACAAAGGGCAUUGAUAACCACAUAAAUGGAAAAUUGGCUCUGGAAUAAUUGACAACAUAUUCAAGUAUUUUAGUGCAGUGUCACUUUCAUUAAGAAGAAGACAAUCAGUAAAUCUAUGUGACUCUAAACAUUCUAAUGAAAGAGGAAUAUUCUGUCAAUUAUCUCACAUUUCUAAAUAUCUGGAUAUUGGCCACUGUAAAGACAAAACAUACAGAUGAUGGACUUGUCUUUCCACCUCUCAUUUGCAUGGUUUGGAGCAUUGUACCUCCAGCCAUUGACUCUAAGGCAAUUUAUAUUUGCUUCCUCUUCCCUCUUGAGAGAAAACAAAAAUCUUAUUUUUCCAAGCAGUUAAAACUCUUCUGCUUCAGCUAGGAUGAAAGAAUUAGGAGUUCUGUCUCCUUGUAUCUAAUUGCAUGUUUCAUCUUUCUUGUUUUAAUGAUUGACAGAAAACUAAUAAACUGAGACAUCUUUGAAUCCAGGUUGAAUGUACUCUCUUGGUGGCCCCAUUGCUAAUUUGUUUGACUAUUUUGCAGGAUUUCUUACUCUGUAAUGGAAAGGUUUAUUAAAUAUGAGGGAUGCAAA